CGGGUGAGUAACGCGUGGGUAACCUGCCUCAUACAGGGGGAUAACAGUUGGAAACGGCUGCUAAUACCGCAUAAGCGCACGGCAUCGCAUGAUGCAGUGUGAAAAACUCCGGUGGUAUGAGAUGGACCCGCGUCUGAUUAGGUAGUUGGUGGGGUAACGGCCUACCAAGCCGACGAUCAGUAGCCGACCUGAGAGGGUGACCGGCCACAUUGGGACUGAGACACGGCCCAG
rnacentral:rRNA from 1 species